rnacentral:lncRNA from 1 species
GCACAGGCAGCUGGAAACCCAAGAAGAGCUGAUGUUGCAGCUCAAGUUCAAGGCUGUCUGCUAGCAGAAUUCUUUCGUGCUUGGGGAAGGACAGUCUUUGUUCUUCUAAGCUUUCAAAUGAUUAGAUGAGAUCCACCCACAUUUUGGAGUUUGUAACCAAAACUUUAAUCCCAAAGAGUCUCACAAAACAUAUUACAAAUGACAGCAUGAAAAAAAUCUUGCACAGUGAAGCAAAAGUUCAGCUCUACAAUGUACCCUUAAACUGGCAGGACAUUGGUAUUUUGAAAUCUCAGGUUUCAAAUAAAGAAUGU